GAGCCUGGAAGAGGGAAAGGGGAGGCAUCCCAGCAACAGGAAAGCAGUGGACCCGAGGAUCUCAGCCAUGUUCCCUGCUGCUCCCAUGCACAUUUUCUAGUGUUUACCUAUGUGCCUGUUCACCUCUACUCUGGGCGCAAGGGUGGUGAUGAAAUGAAGAUACAGUGAUUCCUGCUACAUAGACUCAGCAGUACAACGCUUGGCUCAGUGAUGAACCAGUGACACCUACCAUAUUUCCAAGGACAUUGAAGACCUGAUCAAGAGGAGGGAGAAGCAGUUCCUAACCAAACCAGAGACUUUCAGAUGUUGUGAUGAGAAGCCAGUGAAUAUGGCAGAAACUUGUGACAGGGGCCUGAAGAUGCCACUUAUAUCAUCGGAGCCAGGGGUUGUCAGCUGUAGGGCCAUUGAACCCACACACAAGUCCAUGAGUUGCACUUGUUCUGGGGAAUGUAUGGGCUACUUGCCCCCCUGUCUAGAAGGUGCGGGGGGGGGAGGAGGGAAGAUGCUCUGACUGCUGUCUUCUGAUUGGGUGACUCCCUAGUAAAGUGGCUCCAGAGGAUGUAGUGAUAGAGAGCCUGUCCCAGGGCUGCUAUAUGAAAGAUAAUGAAACAACAGGCUACAGCAUCUUUCCCCAGGAUCUAUUAUUUUCUUAGCCCUCCUUUCAUAGAAUGGCUCCUGCCAUACUCAGGAGGGUA